AGGCUGGUAAAACCUAAAUAGCGCUAUCAACUAAUAACUCGUUCGCCUGGCACCGGCGACUAAUCGGUAUUAUGUAGUAGGGACUUGAGUGAUAGAGUUGCGUUUAGUGCCGUUGAUUUGCAUUUCGUAUAAACAGUAAUUGACUAAAAAGGUUUCCCAAUACAAGGGAAGAUAAAGUAAGUUUGUUCCCAAUAACUAGGGAAGGAAUGUAGACGGUAUCCCCCUUACAAGGGGAUAGGGUUGUUUUAGUCUCGUGUCCCAAACCACCGGGACGCAUGCUUUUAAGUUGUGAACUCACCUUGGGUUGCUCGGUAAGAUACGUUACUUGGUUAAGCUCGUUGGUUACCACGUCCUAGCAUGGUUACCAAGCAUGGGUCAAGUCGGGUACAAGUGAACACGUAUACAUACAGUAACAUGUAGACAUACAAACAGUAGCAGAUCAGUAAACAGCCCAAACAAUAGAUGGCCCAACCGUUAAGGCCCAAAACAGCAAAACAGUCAAAGCCCAAUACACAAAACAGCCCAGUCGAAACUAAGGUGGUUGCGACUCGCAACCGAGGUUGCGACUCGUAACUGCGGUCUCGGUCCGUCACGUUUUGGUUACGACUCGUAACCGGAGAUUGCGACUUAGCAGGUGUGGUUGCGACUCGCAACCAGGUUUGAUGGUGCUGAUUGCGACUCGCAACUGGGAGGUUUCGACUGGUCAUGCGUGGUUUCGAGUAGCAACCAAAGGUUGCGACUCGUAAUCCGUGAUAACGUGCAUGGCAAACUUCUAGAACCUGCAGUGUACUAUCCAAUGAAAUUGCAUUUUCAUGUAAAUGUUGUACUAUGCCACUAAACAUGUCUGUUGGUCGUUUUGUGCACAAAUUUGGAUCAAAAUCAGCAUUUUCAAAAUAUUUAACACAUUCAAACUGUUCUUCAUGAUGUUCAUACCAUAAUCAAACAACAUUCAACCAUAAACAACACAAAACCUUGCAUAGAACCUCCAAUCGGACCCUCAUCCUAAACGAACAACAACAAUAAUCCGAACAUGCAAUAGUAAUCUAUCUAAACCCUCAUUAUAACAACCGAAUAUCACAACAUUUUAUAAGCUAUCCGAAUCAUCCAAAAUAUGUCAUUAUAACCGACUAUCAUGAACUUCUAACAAAAACCAAAACAAAUCGGAUAUCAUGCAUUUUCAACAUAGACCAAGCAUUUUUAACCAUCAUUUAGCUACCAUCACAUUAUUAACAAUAAUCAAGCAUCAUUUAGUAACAACACAAACAAUCGAAGCAACUAUAGGGAUGUUUAUGCUAACCGGUUGUGUGAAGCUCAAAGAUCUGAGAGAAGAAAAGGGAAGAUCCGAUUGCGGUCUUGUUGUGGGUCGAUCCGAGAGGGAUGAGAAGAGUGGUCUUGGUUGCUAAAACUUUAGGGUUUUUGUGUGAGAGAUGAGAGUGUGAGAAGAGAGUGUGUAAAAUGGUUAAGGGAGGUGGGGUUGGGUUUAUAUAAUGUACCGAGUUGGGCUAGGGGGGUUUCCGGGUUGGGUUCUCGGUUACAAGGCCCAAACGGCCCAAUCCAAACAACCGGCUCCUUUUGUUGUUCACGGUUCACUCGAGACCGGGUGGUCUCGAGUCGGGUCUCGGGUUUGGUUGUGGUUUCGGGUUCCGGUUCAUCUCACAUACACACCCACUCUCUUAUAUCUAUAUAUAUAUAUACAUACGUAUAACACACUAGCACAAAGAUCACAUAGAACAUCAAAACAAUACACAACUUUUUCAUUUAAUAGUAUACGUACACGCAUGUUACAUCGAAAGAUUGUCCGGGAAAUUCCGAAGUGUCACAAGUUCGAUAAUAUAUGAAAGCGAUGGAUAUCGCUAAGUUAACUAACUAGUGGAAAUAACAAGAUUACGUUAUUUCAAGUUGCACUAUGUCGUAUGAGAUAUGUAGACAAUUAGUGACCAAAAAGAUGUUACCAUACCUAUAUGGUAAUACGAACAAUUGGUUAAAAGUAUAAGUAAUGUUUAAAAGAUAUCUCGUAAAAAAAAUACGUUGAGUUUAAACUCAAUGAGUUAUGUAAGAAAAGGUUUCGAGGAAGAAACCUCUUUAAGGGGGUAGACUUGUAACACCCCGAAAACGGGUUUGGUAAUCAAACCACGUUUAUACUAAAAGACGGGUAAAUUACCUUUAGUGGUAAAAGUAACCCAGCGAAUAUUAGGAUUCUUGAAUAAACAAGAACUUACUAACUAGGAAUUUUAACCUAGUUAGCUAAUAUUCUAGAAGUAACUUAUGAUAGGGUUAAAAACAACCAAAACUAUAUGUCAAACAAAAGAUGAGGGGCCUAAGUUGUAAGCAAUUGAAAUUAUAUUACUAAUUUUAAUAAAAAUCAAAACCAAACACCCAUUAAGGAUGUCUGGUCGUACAGGAAAGGGCAGGGGCGACUCCCCACUCUUCAAAACCCUAGAACUUCACUAAUCUUGCAAAUUGAAGGUCCAAUUCAGUCCAAAAUCGAAAUUUAAGCAUGGAUUAUUGAUCCUCAUCACAAGAGGAUUAAAAGAAACAUGAUGAACACUAGAAUCAUAAUGGUUAAAUUGUGUUAAUAGAACUCACUGAAGUUAGAUUUGAAGUUUGAUGUUAGUACUUGUUAAUUUUGCUAGAAUUUAAGGGUUUAGAACACUUAAAUGGGCUGGAGAAAUUUGAUGUUUCGUGUUGCACACAAGGUGCUUGUUAAAAUGCUUGAACAAGAAAAUAUAACAAAGCCGAUUGGAAAUAAAAUUAUUGGGCUGCAGUUUUAAAAAAAAUCAUAUAAAAUUACUGGAACGGCCUGUGAGGUUGAGCCUUAUAUGCUCAGAAAGCUAUUAAAACAUACUACGUUUAAUGUUUGAACAUGUUUGUUAAAUUCUGAUGUUAAACGGGUCAAAACAGUGUCCGAAGUAGGCUGAACUGUUUUGACAGCAAGCUGAUUGGAAAAAAAAAAUUGUUGGGCUGCAGUUUUUAAAAAAUCAUAUAAAAUCACUGGAACAUCCUGUGAGGUUGAGCCUUAUAUGCUCAGAAAGCUAUUAAAACAUACUACGUUUUAUGUUUGGACAUGUUUGUUAAAUUCUGAUGUUAAACGGGUCAAAACAGUGUCCGAAGUCGGCUGAACUGUUUUGACAGCAAGCUGACAGGAAGCAUUUUUUUUUACUUCAGAGCUGAUUUUGUAAAAAUCAUAUAAAAUCAUAGGAACAUCGUUAGAAGACGUACCAUAUAUGCCUAGAAAGCUAUUUCAGAGUUCUACGAUCCGUUUUUGAACAUGUUGAUCUAAUUCAGCUUUUAAAUGGGUCAAAAUGGUCAAUUACAGCAGCUGAAUACAAAAUCGCUGCACUUUAGUAAUGUUCUUAUUAACCAAGAAAAAGACAUAUGAUUGCGUAUACUUGUUUAGUCAUGAAGCAUUUAUUGUUAGGAACAAGUAACACUUUAUAUGACAUGCUUAAAGUGUUCAAAAUCACUUACUAACUAGUUUGUAUAAAUAAUUUGACUAACGGGUCAAACGGUUAGUGAAUGGAAAGAAUUAUGACAAAAAAAUAAAUAAGUAAAUAAUAUAGUUGUUGAAUAAAUAGCAUACUUUGGUGAAUAAGUGUGUGAAUCCAUAAGGUGUGAUGGUCAUGUUAAUGGUUGACUAAUCUAAUCAUCUUGUGGAUAUGAUAUGGUAGUUUGACUCUGACAAGCUAGGUAGGAGCUUGGAAAUGAACGGGUCAAAUGGAUACAAGUUCAAGUAUGAAGCUCGCAAGGAUGCAAGGAGUAGAUAUCCAAUGGAUACUCGCAUCGCUCUUAAUUAGCAAUUAUAAAGCAAGGUAUUAAACCGGGUUAGUAAGUUGAUCCGAGCCAGGUAUGUAUAAUAGAUUAACUUAUCAUGUAGAACUUGAAGUUCUAUGAAAGUUAGGCAAAAUAAAAAAAAAAAAAGGCAUUCGGUUACCUUAAUAGGUAAACCGAAGGAUUUAAAUUAUUUAGACAGAAUGUUUUGAAAACAAGAUUUGGUUAAAAAUGAGAAAUUAGAAUCAAACAACAGGUUUGUUUGAUAAAAUCACGAACGGGUCAAAUUUGGUAAAAAGGGUUAAUAAGCCGAAGACUUAAAAGUCUUAAAAUUUUGUUAAUCCAGAUGUUGGGUCUUGACUCCAUUUGAUGGAGGUUCAAUUUACAAUCACGUAGGAAGAAACGGUAGGUCAAACAGACGAGCGGUUUGAAAGAUACGAAAGUUUUCGUGUCAAAAACGGCAAAAAGGAAAGGAAUGAUGCAGGGGCCACCGUAACUUACGGUGCCACCGUAAGUUACGGUGGACAUGAUUUGGUUACGGUAAAUGCCUACUGUUGUACGGUUGAAUAAUUGAAACACAGAGACCACCGUAACUUACGGUGCCACCGUAAGUUACGGUGGAGGUCAGAAAUGAGUUUUUAUUUUGGGUUUAAGAUAUCCAUGUGGGAUUUUCCUAAUUUCCCCAUUGUAUUAGUUUAAUUAAUUAUCACAACUGACCUUUAAGUUGGUUUUGAUCACAGGUGAAUGUUGAGGGUCCCGGAUGAAGAUCGAGCAUCGAGCAAGAACCGAACACACACUAAAUAAAGCUUCCGCAACGUUGUUUUGUCGUUAUUCUAAACGGUGAUUUAAAUCACAUUAUGUAUAUCACUUAAAUUGUAAAAGUUUUUAAUAAACCCGCAUUUUGUACAGUAUGUGUGGUCUUAACUACACAUCUAAUUGUGGUAUUUUCAUGUAAAAUUGUAAUUUAGUAACUAGGGUGUUACAAGUUGGUAAUCAGAGCUCAUGGUUAAAGAUUAAGGUGUGUUCGGUUCGAGGCUUGAUCGCAAAUCCGGUAAGUACGUGUAUGUUAAUAGCUUAGCAUGCUAAAGUGUUGUAAACAACACAUAGGGCUAUCGUGUGAUACACGUUACCCCAAUUAAAAUGAUUAAUAUGGUUGACGAAAAUACGCGCGUUGACGCGUAUAGUAAAAAAAAAAAAAAAAAAAAAAAAAAAAAAAAGCCUUAUAUUAUAAUACGGGCGAUUAUUGAAGUUGAAAUUACUAACUCUUGUGAAUGUUUUAAUUGAAGGACACUCGCGUCUGAAGAUGACGAGAGUUGAACAAAUUGCGGAUAUGAUGAUGGAACGGUCCGAGAUGUGACAAGAAGAGCAUACUCAUCAAGGACCUAAAUCGCGUAACGAUCGCAAAUAAGUAAUGGCAAGGAAUGCCCGUCGGGGCAAGCAUUACCAGAACUCACUGAAGUUAGAUUUGAAGUUAAUCUCUUUCAAGUACAAACAAACGACAAAAGUUAAGCGAUUUUUGGAAGAGUGGAAGAUGGAUAAGGAAGAUUUCUUGGAUGACAAUUGAAGACCAAUGUUUUUUUUGUUUUGAUGUAAUUGGUUGUGAUUUUGGUUGUUUGUGUUGAACUCUUUAGUGGUAUGCCACUAAGAGAACUAGAGGGUAUUUUCAGCCUUGUACUUGUAUUUUGUUGAUAUUUAUAAAAAUCACCGGGGUAACCCUUUACCCAAAAAAAGUUUGAUGUUAGUACUUGUUAAUUUUGCUAGAAUUUAAGGGUUUAGAACACUUAAAUGGGCUGGAGAAAUUUGAUGUUUCGUGUUGCACACAAGGUGCUUGUUAAAAUGCUUGAACAAGAAAAUAUAACAAAGCCGAUUGGAAAUAAAAUUAUUGGGCUGCAGUUUUAAAAAAAAUCAUAUAAAAUUACUGGAACGGCCUGUGAGGUUGAGCCUUAUAUGCUCAGAAAGCUAUUAAAACAUACUACGUUUAAUGUUUGAACAUUUUUGUUAAAUUCUGAUGUUAAACGGGUCAAAACAGUGUCCGAAGUAGGCUGAACUGUUUUGACAGCAAGCUGAUUGGAAAAAAAAAUUGUUGGGCUGCAGUUUUUAAAAAAUCAUAUAAAAUCACUGGAACAUCCUGUGAGGUUGAGCCUUAUAUGCUCAGAAAGCUAUUAAAACAUACUACGUUUUAUGUUUGGACAUGUUUGUUAAAUUCUGAUGUUAAACGGGUCAAAACAGUGUCCGAAGUCGGCUGAACUGUUUUGACAGCAAGCUGACAGGAAGCAUUUUUUUUUACUUCAGAGCUGAUUUUGUAAAAAUCAUAUAAAAUCAUAGGAACAUCGUUAGAAGACGUACCAUAUAUGCCUAGAAAGCUAUUUCAGAGUUCUACGAUCCGUUUUUGAACAUGUUGAUCUAAUUCAGCUUUUAAAUGGGUCAAAAUGGUCAAUUACAGCAGCUGAAUACAAAAUCGCUGCACUUUAGUAAUGUUCUUAUUAACCAAGAAAAAGACAUAUGAUUGCGUAUACUUGUUUAGUCAUGAAGCAUUUAUUGUUAGGAACAAGUAACACUUUAUAUGACAUGCUUAAAGUGUUCAAAAUCACUUACUAACUAGUUUGUAUAAAUAAUUUGACUAACGGGUCAAACGGUUAGUGAAUGGAAAGAAUUAUGACAAAAAAAUAAAUAAGUAAAUAAUAUAGUUGUUGAAUAAAUAGCAUACUUUGGUGAAUAAGUGUGUGAAUCCAUAAGGUGUGAUGGUCAUGUUAAUGGUUGACUAAUCUAAUCAUCUUGUGGAUAUGAUAUGGUAGUUUGACUCUGACAAGCUAGGUAGGAGCUUGGAAAUGAACGGGUCAAAUGGAUACAAGUUCAAGUAUGAAGCUCGCAAGGAUGCAAGGUAAGUAUAACUUACACUAGUCAUAUAUUUUAAAAUGUUCUUUUGUCAUAUUGACUACGAAUAAGACAAAUGGUAAUUUAGUCACACGUUGACAAUAAUCGUUAGUUUUAAAAGACGCUUUCCCGCGAAAGACAUAAAGAGCCGAAAAUGGUAAUAAACGGUUUAUAAAUAAAAUGAGCAUACGGUGUUAAAAGGAGCGAGUCAUGUAGAUGAGAUGAUAAUAAAUAUUAUCUCGCAAAGAUAAACGGUCAAUUCGGCCAAACGGGUCAAAAGGUGUAGACAUCACCUUUUGACAAUAUCGACUAAUGAUUCUGGUGUCGAGUUAUAUGUUUACAGGAGUAGAUAUCCAAUGGAUACUCGCAUCGCUCUUAAUUAGCAAUUAUAAAGCAAGGUAUUAAACCGGGUUAGUAAGUUGAUCCGAGCCAGGUAUGUAUAAUAGAUUAACUUAUCAUGUAGAACUUGAAGUUCUAUGAAAGUUAGGCAAAAUAAAAAAAAAGGCAUUCGGUUACCUUAAUAGGUAAACCGAAGGAUUUAAAUUAUUUAGACAGAAUGUUUUGAAAACAAGAUUUGGUUAAAAAUGAGAAAUUAGAAUCAAACAACAGGUUUGUUUGAUAAAAUCACGAACGGGUCAAAUUUGGUAAAAAGGGUUAAUAAGCCGAAGACUUAAAAGUCUUAAAAUUUUGUUAAUCCAGAUGUUGGGUCUUGACUCCAUUUGAUGGAGGUUCAAUUUACAAUCACGUAGGAAGAAACGGUAGGUCAAACAGACGAGCGGUUUGAAAGAUACGAAAGUUUUCGUGUCAAAAACGGCAAAAAGGAAAGGAAUGAUGCAGGGGCCACCGUAACUUACGGUGCCACCGUAAGUUACGGUGGACAUGAUUUGGUUACGGUAAAUGCCUACUGUUGUACGGUUGAAUAAUUGAAACACAGAGACCACCGUAACUUACGGUGCCACCGUAAGUUACGGUGGAGGUCAGAAAUGAGUUUUUAUUUUGGGUUUAAGAUAUCCAUGUGGGAUUUUCCUAAUUUCCCCAUUGUAUUAGUUUAAUUAAUUAUCAAAACUGACCUUUAAGUUGGUUUUGAUCACAGGUGAAUGUCGAGGGUCCCGGAUGAAGAUCGAGCAUCGAGCAAGAACCGAACACACACUAAAUAAAGCUUCCGCAACGUUGUUUUGUCGUUAUUCUAAACGGUGAUUUAAAUCACAUUAUGUAUAUCACUUAAAUUGUAAAAGUUUUUAAUAAACCCGCAUUUUGUACAGUA